UUCCUGAUGCUGAUGUGAUGCUCUGAACUGGCUAGGGAACAACAAUCUGAUUGGUGGGAAGUGGAAGAGUCCAGCCCACCGCCUUCUUAAGUUGGCUGGCAUUGUCAAAGAAGGAAAUUGCCAGAAAGAAAUGUAACCCUCUAAGUACAGUAACGUAAACCAGAAGAAUGUGAUUCUGAUGACACUCUUAUCCCAUCCUGUGAACAAACGUUCGGGAGAAGUGAAAGAACCCCAUGGGAUAAAAGGCCCCCUUCUCCAUCAUGAAAAUGUAUCAGUUAAGAAAGUGCCUGCAUCUGGAGUCCUCUGAGCCCCCCACAGAUACAAGUCGAGGGCCGACUUUCCUGUUUGUCCUUUUCUUCCCAUGGAAACAGAAUCCACAGUGUAUGUCUGGGGUUCAGGGGAGAGAGUCACUUUUACCACAAGGCUAGCCAGCACUCCUUCCAGCUCUCCUUUUCCAGGUAUAGAUCAUAGCUGACUCUUUAUUCAGGCACGGAAACCUGGAUUUAUGUCACUAAUAAGUGUGUGCUUUGUGCUACAGUCACUGUGCACAGUUCAGAAUGUACAAUGUGCAGGUUGCAAAUUGAUAACCAUCUAUUCUAGAUCAUAGACAGCUUGGGAGAAGGUGGUGAGGAUAGGAAUGGAAUUCACAGGAUGUGGCCAGGACCCAGGAGGCAAAGACCAGCCUGGGAGGUCAGGGCCUCUGAGCCUAAUGCAAAUUACCCAGCAGAUGAUCUGCAUCCAUUUCUCCAUUUCACUGAGAACACGCAGACCCUCCUUGGUACUGUCAGUGAAUCUUGCUUAGGAGUCAAAUACACGAAGAAGCCCGAUCUCCCAAAUGAAAAAUUGCCCUGUUAUCUGCUUGCCUUAGGGAGCAAAGAUGGUCCUGGAUGCCUUAAGAGGGAAACGUUGAACACCACAUAAAUAAAGGUUGACUUGGUGCAGAAGUGUACAGUGCCAUGUCCCUGCAUCUUCAUGGAGAAAUGUAUUCUUUCCACAUGAGAAGCAACACCGUCCAUGGAGCAGAGGCAGUGCCACACGCGCAGCGCCAUGGCCUUCCAGGAGAAGUACUGAAGCCUUUCAGCUGCCUUGACUCUGUGCCUUUCACACCAGGCCUCAUCCAGGACCCCAGAGAUAGGAUCGGGUGUAAGAGCAUUAGGUUGCAUGAAAAUAGGGCACCGCUUUUAGAUGGCGCUCCCCUGAGACGUUGGGAGAGGCGACAGGAAAUGGUGAACUUGGGGGCAGAAGGGAACUGGUGGAUUGAAGCUAGUUGGCCGGUCUGUGGCUUAAUGAUCUGCUGUGACAGACAAAGGGAGACUAGGGCAUGGUUAUAUAUUUUAAGCUAUCAGGUCAAAUGGAAAAAUCAGAAAAGGCAAGGAGUGAGCUUUUAACCAGUAUUUCUUGUCUGCCUGUGGAUGGGGGUGGACACAUCGGUCAGCAAAGUGGUAAAAAGAUAGGGCCUCUUCCUUCUCACAUCCAUGAAGGUCAGUUUCAGUGCUUUCUUGUGUUGGAAAGGGAAGAAUCUUGAAUUAAAUUACACGGCCUUAUAUUUUAGGACGAUCUCGAAUUCAAUUACAUGGCUUGAUAUUUCAGAACGUGUUGAUAAUCCGAAAUCUCUCAUUUCCCAUAGCAUAGAGACAGGCGAUUCUGCUUUUCUCAAAAUUACCUUUUCUCAAAAUUACCUUCUGACAAAACAAUGAUAGAGCCUACUUUAGUCAUUAGAUAAUAGAGGAAUAAUGAUUCAGAAGUUUUUGUCAUAGGAUUUCUACAUCGUUUUCUUAAACUCUAUGGAGAAAUAGAUGGUCGCACAAAACCCGAAUCCAUGGAAAGUGUAAUUCCCUGAGUUCCGACAGUUACAUUGACCUGAGAAACCACUGCCAGAACCAAGAUACAGAACAUUUCUUAUUUAUUUAUUUAUUUAUUAUUUAUAGCAGAGUUGAUUUACAGUGUUGUGCCAAUUUCCGCAGUACAGCGAGGUGACCCAGUCAUACAUACUAUCUUCCACCAUGGUCUGUCUCAAGAGAUUGGACAGGAGUUCCCACUGCGGCACAGCAGAAAUGAACCUGACUACUAUCCAUGAGGACGUGGGUUUGAUCCCUGGCCUCACUCAAUGGGUCAAGGAUCCAGCAUUGCUGUGAACUGUGCCGUAGGUCACAGAUGAGGCUCCGAUCCUGGGUUGCUGUGGCUGUGGCAUAGGUGAGAAGCUGUAGCUCUGAUUCGACCCCUACACUGGGAACCUCCAUGUGCCGAGAGUGCGGCCCUAAAAAUCAAAAAAAAAAAAAAAAAAAAGAGAGAGAGAGAGAGAGAGAGAGAAAGAGAUUGGACAUAGUUCCCAGGGCUGCCCGGUAGCAUUUCAUUGCUUAUCAUCCUACACGGAAUAGUCUGCCUCUCCAUCACUUGAGGGAGGUUCCUCCUGCCCCUUUUCAGUCUUUCCCUCCCUCCACCCACCACAGCCAACCACUGGCCUUUUGCCCACAUCUUUUUUCAAAGCCAGAAAUGUGUUUGAGUCAGCUUCUGGUGAGGGGGAAAGAGGGCUACGGGGGAAGAAAGAACUUCCAGGGUUUUUCUGAAAGACCAUCCAAAGUCCAUGUCACGCAUAGGUUGCUAUUCACAAAGAGCUGGGGGGAACGCCCUAUUCCCUCCAUCACUGUCCUGAUGCCAGGGAAGGGCAGACAGGGCUGAAGUCAAGCCCAGCUCUGAGCAUGGGAGAGACGCAGGGGGAGACCAGAUAAGGCCUCUUUUCCUCUGGUUGAUCAGGCAAUACAAAUUUGAUAGCUGGAAGUGUUAGGACACGUGCAAUUCUGGGGGCGGGGAGAGCACUGGCUGAGCCAGGGGCCCUACCUGUGUGGUUUCACAGGUCCUGCUCCCAACUGCUUUCAUUCCUCCAAGUCAAGUGAGAAGGCGGGGUUGAAUGAUCUUCAGAGACCCUUCCUGGUCUAAAAAUCCCAUAAAUAAGGUCUUUAAAACGCCACUGACUGCGGGUUAAGCAAUUGAAAUAAAAACAGACCACUGAAAAUUUGUAAAAGAAAU
ensembl:lncRNA